rnacentral:lncRNA from 1 species
CUCGACAAACUACAUGAGGUUGGGUUGUGUGAUUGGACCCUGUUUGUGUGCCAGCAGGAAGGGACAAGCAAGAGAAAGUACUGCUAUUCCACUGGAUUUUACUUCCUUUGAUUUCACCAAACUUUGUAUUAUUAUUUUCUUCUGGUAUAGUUCUGCCAAUUUUUUUGCUUCAAUUAGCACAGGAAUAAUGAAGUGAUAUUCAUUCACUUGUUAUCAGUUCACUAUUUUGAAAUGUGAUCUUGCUUGUUACAGCCUGGUGAACAGUUUGCUCUUUUGCUGUCAAAUACUUUGUUGUUGGCUUAUUUUUGAAUACAGAUUGGAUGCCUCGCUGCAUGUUACUCCCAAGAGGUGGGCUUGCAGUUCUUAUUUGGCUUAUCUGUUUCAAUAAGUUAUUCAACACCGUACCUAGCACAGUCAUUGGAAAUAAGAAAAGUGCCCUCUCCUGACCAGCAACAACUAGAUCCAUUCGGGAAUAUUCCAUUCUGAAAAUGAGUAUAAAUUUGAGUUAUUUUAGUUGUCUAUUUAGAACAUGAUUUACCUAAAUUCUGAAAGUACUGCAUUUGCACUAUACAUAUGAUGCAGAAGAUCUCACUCAAGAAGUGGCCAAACUGAGGUGCCAGGUGAUUGGCAUGCUUGAGGAAGAAUACAAGCAUUGGUGCUGCAUUGNNN